UACGUAGGGGGCAAGCGUUGUCCGGAAUCAUUGGGCGUAAAGAGCGUGUAGGCGGCUCGGUAAGUCCGCUGUGAAAGUCCAGGGCUCAACCCUGGAAUGCCGGUGGAAACUGUCGAGCUAGAGUCCGGAAGAGGCGAGUGGAAUUCCUGGUGUAGCGGUGAAAUGCGUAGAUAUCAUGAGGAAUACCAGAGGCGAAGGCGGCUACCUGGGCAGUUGCUGACGCUCAGGCACGAAAGCGUGGGGAGCAAAAGGG
rnacentral:rRNA from 1 species